UUUGCAGGCUCAGGGCUGUACUGGCGCAGUCCAUGUAGGUAGACUUGCCCCAAGUUGGGAGUCCAGUCCGGCGGGUGGAUGAGCUAGCUGCCUGCUUUUGGUUGCCAGUUGAUGGAGAGAUACCAAACGGUUAAUGCAGUUGCCUACCAGCCAUCAACGGGUCUGGGAGAGAAGCUGAGUAGACUCGGCACCAACAAAUAGUGAGCUGUAGAACGCUGUCUCCACCAUGACCCUAGGAAGGGAACAUUGCCAGGCUUUUACCUUCUCCUCCUCAUAAAGAAGGAAGUGUGGUCUUGGAGAAGUCCGACUUGUCCACAGCUGGCAAAUGGCAGAGGCAGAAUGAGUGAACCCCUGACCGUGCCCUUGAUCCCCUUGGUUCAGCCUCGGGUGCCACACUAAGACUCUGGGUAUUAUUCCUCUUUUUAUGAAAUGAUGCAACUUCUUCCUUUCUAAUUGAGCCUGGGUGUGUUUGAAUGCCCAAUCCUCAACUAAAAGUUAUGGAACUCUAACGAACAUAGGUGCAACUGAAAUUAUCGAGGCUGGAAGGAAGGUGACAAAAAUGACUAAUUUCUCACCUUUAUCUAUGGAAAGCAGAGGUGGCGCUUCUGGACUGAGUGAAGUCACAGGUGCAAAAAUCAGAGCUGUCGGCUCAGACCCAAUGAACCACUUCGUGCUCACCACAAAUCGGAAGGCUCAUCAGUUCCUUCUCCUAGAUGAGACACGGAGGUCAUAUCAAAUUUAACUCCUGUGAUGCCCUGUCUUCAGGAGACUUUGGGCGAACACAGAAGGGUUUGGGGGAUCCUUGGGACACAACAAAACAUGAGCUACAUGCUACUAAACACUUCGUACACACCAAGUACUUGGCAUAAACUCUCUCACUGAAUUGGUGCACCAACCUUAUGAAGUGCAGACUGUUUUUAAGCCCAUUUUACAGAUGAGGAGAUUAAAGCCUUAGUAGAUGAAGUCACUUGUCCCAACUUUGUGGCCCCAGAGCCCAAGGCAGUAACCAUUAGGAAUAUUCUCUCUCCCAGUCUGAUUACAGUAGAUAGAUCACACGCACCUGUUGCAAUGGGUUGAUUUUUGGGGUCUGAGAGGAAACCCGGUUCUACCCUAUUUUACAGGCCCCUGACCCCUUGGCCAGUGAGGCUGUGGGAAUCCUGAAGAGGGAGGUCACACAGCUCUAAGAGGAAGGAAGCAUCUCAUCCUUUUCCCACACAAAACCUCCCAUUGCCUCACCUCCAAAUGGAUUUGGAAGAACUUCUGGAUUUGAUCUGGGAUGAAGGGUCUGAGAGACACUAAAAGGGGUCUUCAUGGCUACAUAAUCUCAGUUCUGGUCAGGGAGUUCCCAGUGUGGGAGGAAUAUGUCUUUAAAUGCCAAAUCUGAGUGAUGGGCUAGAACCUUCAAGAUCUUUCUAUAUCAAGAAAAGUAGUUUGUGAACUACAACUAGGACUACAUAUGGAGGAUGAUUAUCCCAGGUGGAGCUUCCCUCAGAGGGCAAAACUGUAAUACAGAGCUUGGGAUUUUCUCAAAGGUAUCUUCCUCCAUCACUUGCCUUGAGUUGAGGCUCAAAAUAAGACAGGUAGCCUCUAAAUUUACUCUCCACUUGAUGGAGCAGGUUUUGGAAGUGAGGUCAUCUCUGAAGAUAGGCCAUUUUAGACAUUAAUACAGUCUCUCCAUUUUGCAGCCAAGGAAAAUGGGACCAAGCUUUCUCAAAGUCAUUCCCUGACUGGCAAGGCUGAGGCUGGAACCCAUGUCUCUUGACCAAAUGAGUCCAAAUCCCAAGACCUGUUUCUGUCCAAUGGCUCACUGAUAACUUUGAGUACUUGAGGCUUUUGUCUAGCUUGGCAUGUGGACAAAUCCCCCCUCAAGAUCCCUCUUCUCCAGAAGAAAAUGUGAUAUUCAGGCUGGUAUAAUCUUAAACACUUAUGUUUAGGAUCUCAUAGGGGGACAUUUAAACAUCCAAUUCCCUGCUUCCAAAAUAGAAACUUGUUGCAAAUCUGCCCAAAAUACUUGUGAUCACACCCAUGCCUUUGUCAGUAGAGGUUGAUGAGCAAGCCAAACAUUUUCACACGAGUCAAGAUCCUGCAACAUCUCAAGGUCCUGGUCCUAGAGAUCUCUAAUGUGUAGCUGCUGAGACAUAACCUAGUCUGACAUUUUUUAUUUGUAUUUUUAUUGUUUUUGGUCUAUGUUUAUAAAAGUAACAGUUAAAUGUCUGGUUAAUUGAGAAGUUAUGGUUAGCUGACUUCUGGUUAGCUGAGGUUUUUAAAUAUUAUAUAACCUGCUCUACCUGGGUCCUCCCAGCCUCCUCAAACAGGCUGUAAUGAAUAUGUAAUGGCAUAGAAGCUUCUUGACACUUGUUAAAAUACUGUGCAUUCUUCCUCUCCUAGAGCGUGUUCAUUAUAGAUACAACAGGAAAAAAGAUAAAACGCCUGAGUGACUGACACCCAGUUUGGAAUGUGAAUCUCUCAUCUUGGGUCAGUGUCCACAAGGCUCAAGGAACCAGGCAGAAUAGGGCUUUGACCUCUUAGGCCACAUGUGCUGGGGUGCCAAUGUUGCUGGUCUUUCCCAGAGGGGGGAUAUGAAAGCUGCCUGCCGUGACUUCAGUUUUUCACGUCUCCAAAGGGACAGCCCUCCUAGCAGGACAGAUCAGACUCCCCUCUCUCUCCCUCUGAGGCAGUCAGGUUACUCAAUAAUCUGUAUAAAUUACAGAUUAUAAUAUACAAUAUAAUAUACAAUAAUCUGUAUAAAUUACAGCCAAUGCCUUUGGCUGCCUGAUCACCUUCCCUGGAUCUGGUGAUCGCCUUGUAGAUCAGAAUUCUUUUUCCUCCUUCCUUUAAUCAAAUAGAACAGCAACAAUUAAAUGUGUUCUUUUUAAAAUUUUUUUUUGAGAGAGAGACGAGAGAGUGAGAGCAGGGGAGGGGGAGACAGAGGGGGAGACAGAGAAUCCCAAGUCGGCCCUGUGUAGUCAGCACACAGAGCCCGACGCGGGGCUCGAACUCACAAAACUGUGAGAUUAUGAUGUGAGCCAAAAUUAAGAAUCGGACGCUUAACCAACUGAGCCCCCAGGCACCCCUUAAAUGUGUACUUAAUAUAAUCACCCUUUCUUUUUUGGACCCUGGGAAAGCUAGUCUCCCCAGGGUGUCUGUUGUUCUGUUUUCCAGGUUUAUCUUCAGGGAAGGGAUAGAGACUUCUUGAAGCUAGCCAAAGUGAAGGGGAAUUAAUGUUAAGGUAUAUGUGCAACAAUGAGGAAGUCCGAAGCCUAGGACAGAAAACCGAGGUACAGAAGGGUCAUCUGGAAAUGGAACAGAAGGAUUCAAGGGGGCUUCUGUGGGGUCCUGCACCAUCAGGACAAAAUACCUACCUGCUGUGUCUCUUUCUUGCUCACUCACAACCAUCAGUGGCUCCUUGUGUUUGCCCACUGUCCCAACUCACCCUUACCUUUGGCUUCUUUAGUUCUAAAUUUACUUCAUGACUCUUCAGAAAUGAUUUCUCCUCCCAAUGGGAAAUUCUCUUAUUCAUGGCUCAGCUUCAAGGGAGAAAGAGAGAGAGAGAGAGAGAGAGAGAGAGAGAGAGAGAGAGAGAGAGAAUGUAAUAGGUUCAAUGUUUCCUCCUCCACUUACAUAGUUAUUUUCUUAGAAACCAUAUGGCUCCUAAGUCAUUGGAAAGGUGUCCAUUGGUUCUUUUUAUGGGUUAGGCCCCAGCCCUUGACCCGAUGAGCUGUGUGGGAGGGAUCUAGAUGGAGAAGCAGCAAGGGCUUUACAUGGGUCAGUUUCCCUCUGAACAGAGUAUCCACCAGGAUGACCAGCAUUUGAGAGUCUUUUAAGAGGAACCAUAAUCUAUCCAUAAAUGGUCGCUUCCAUGGAAGACUUGGUUCCACCGGAGACUGGAAAAAAAAUGGGAGAAAGUGAGAUGUGUAUUUGUGGCUCACAGUCCAACGCACAUUUUUCAAUUGGAGGACAGAGCUGUGAGCGACCUGGCUAUUUCCGAGUGGAAUGGAGGAGACACACCCACAGCCACCGCGUCUACCCUGUGCCCGAAGCUUCAUGUCCCGCUCCGGAAUCAAGACCCUGCCUUUGUCACCGGUAUGCGCAUGCGCACGCCGUCACGAGGGGGGCAGGACAAUAUGGGGGCUUUGGGAAGGUGCGAGGAUGCCCCCACAGUCACAAUGGGUGUUCUCCUGUUGCCCCUCUCUUGUUGGCCUGAGCCGAGCAGCUGGCAACAGCUCUCGCCCUUUCAGACAGAAAUGCCUACAGAGAUGCUAUUGUUUCCCUUAGGUGACAAAUGCCACAGGCCUGCGCUGGCCAAGCCAUUCUGGAGCCCAGCUGCUUCCGCACUGCCACCACAUGAGAAGGGUGCUUUGUUUUAAUUGUCACAUUUGUUGUUUGAAAAGAUGCUCUUCAACCACGGAAUUCUCGGGUGACCUUUCCGUAGGAAUCACAUGCAAAUGUCCCAGUGGAAGGUCGCGAUUGGUCUUCAAAGGUCAUCUCCAUUCGUCUAGACGGUUGUCUUCACAAAAGAAGGAAGUUCAGGACCCAGCCCAGGAUCUGGCUCAACGCAAGUUCUCCGCAGAUGCCCGCUUAAUUUCUGGACUGCCGUAGAAGUACAGAGCGGGUUGAAAACUUGCAGAAGGAUCAGAGUUUGUGGGGAUGGUCUCUGGACUUGACCAAGCACCUUCUAGUGGCAGUGAACGAUGGGGUUCUUGAGCAAACGGCUAAGAAAGAAUUCUUGAGAUGUCUUUGGUGCAAAAAGGUGAUUUUAUUAAAGCCCGGGGACAGGACCUGUGGGCAGAGAGAGCUGCACCAGGGUUGUGAGGAGUGACUGACUAUGUACCUUUAAGUUUCUGGAGGUGAGGGAGAGCAUUAAGUCUCUACGGAGUUUGAAAGCAAGGCUUUCAGGACCUUGAGGGGCUAGCUGCUGUUAAGAUAAGGUUACUUUUAGUCUUUAAUGAAACAGAAACAUGAAGGAAGUAAGACGGCCAUGAAUUGCUUGAGCAAGGUCACUCUCUGCAUGUUUCAGGCUGCAAGCUGUAGGGAGAUUUAAUUUCAGCUACAUUUCUCUUGCCUGUGUUUCCCUCAUCAGCCAACACAACACACAAGGAUGAGAAUGAAUGUACCGCGCUGGGAUUGCUGUUUCUUCCACAGGUGGGGGUGAGGAACACGGAAGUUCACCCCCCUCUUGCGUUGGCAAGCUCUGAACGUGGCCCAGGGCGGCAGGUUCUGCCAAGUCCUGGCCCCAGUGUGCACACAGCUCUCGGCACAGGGAACCCACUUCUCCCGCGGGUCACCCGCGGCGUCAAGGUGAUGAGAGACGGAAGCAGGUUCCAUUUUCCCUCCUGGUUCCAGAUGUCAUGUGACCCUCCCCUCACCCCUGCAGGCUCUAGUUCAUUCUUGCUGUCACCUGCAUCCGGCUUUCUUCUCCUCGGAUGGCUGACCUAUAGUAACUGCACCUGGAGGUGAGACACAGAAGCAGCAGCCUGCAGGGACUGCAUGGCCAGCAUAGCCUGCAGUCUCCAUUGCAGAAGGUCUAGCCCCCGUAAACGCUACAAAUCCUCCCUUGGUAAAUUACCCCCAGAGGUUCUCCUUCUCUGAUCAGACCCCACCUGAUCCAGUGGGUACAGCUGAUCACACAUGCAGACCCUCACAAUUGCAGGUACAGUGGUAGCCACACCUCACGUCUAAGAGUUCACGUGCAACGAGGCAGCAUGGACCCUGCCAAUCCCCAUCUCAGAGGCUGUGGCGCCCACCACGCCUUUUCUCUCCUGGGCUGUUGAGGUUGGGACUGGGGUUGACGCAGAGGUUGUGGAGCUUGUGCACGUGACCACAACUGGAGGAAGAGCGUGCUCAAAGGGAAGUGGACAGGAUGAAGGUUGCCAUGCAAAAGCUUGCCGUGACUGGCGGCGAGAGGGGCAGUGCUUUCGUUUUGGGGCAGCAGGUUGUUGCCUGGUGUCUGUGAACUGGUAGUGGGGAGGGAUCCCAGGGAAUCCCAUGCUGCAGAUUCUGAGGGAUGCAUUUGCCUUCAUAGCAGCAACAGCAUCUGUACCCGGUCCUUGAAUGGUGCUGCGCAGGGGCCAGCUGGGGCCGCAAGCGUUUACAUAGGAGUGGCCCCUUGGGAGGCAGCACUGGAGAGUGGGGCCGAUCACAGCCCUCCGGAGCAGCUAGGCUGCAUGGAUCCAAGGCAGGCUGAGAAAAGGAAAAACAUCCAAAAUGGAAGUAAAAUAUGUAACCAUGUAUAUGUUCACAGGAGGAAAACAUAGGGACGGGGAGAAAGGAGAGAAGUGGAAACAGUGAACCUCCCAAGACGCCCUGUGACAGAGAGAUAAAAUGAAACCUCCUGUCUGUCACCAGAAUGCCAUAAUUUUAUCAUUCUUCCCACGCAAUGCUGUGCUAUUUUGGGUUCUGGGGUUCCCCCCCACCUCUGUGUGCCCAAGAUGUCUGAGAAACAAACGUGUAAGAAAAUGUUUUAUUCUCCCCAGCAAGGGAUGGAGAAUUCAUUACAGGAGGCGCAUCUCCGAGCUGCCUCCUCCGUGUCAUCGUGCUCUGCCCUGCAGAAGAUUUCGUCUGCGAGCCGAAGCCUAAUGAAUUUGCCCACUGUGGUCCUGUGCCCAGAAACUGAAAUCCUGUUGCGCUUCACUGGUGGGAUCCUUUUCCUCAGCCACGGAGCCAAGCAGAACGGAAAAGAUGGCCAGCCUCCCUUUUGCAAAGACCAUGCGUCUCCCCUCCCCCUUACACACCAUGCCAGUGAUUUCUACAUUCUGCUGGGUCUAAUUUCCUUUGUAAAAGGAAAAAGGAAAAAAAAAAAAACCCACAACAAGACAAAACAAAACAAAAGAAAGAAACUUGGAACUCUUUUGAGGACAAGGAAGGAGAAGCUGGAGGAAGGGGAAGCAUUUGAUGUCACCUGAUUACCAUCUGUUCACCAAGUUAGAUAUUACAUCAAAGGAACAAUCGAGAGCCUGUAUAAACCAGGACGCUGAUGGUCGUCCUUGUACGUGUUGUGCCUCCCUUCUUGGCCUUUCCAGCCAGGCUUCCUCUGUCUCAGGACGGCUAUGGCCUUCAUCACCUGUGCACCUCUUCCCACUCUGGAUGAGGUCAGAGCUGCAGGCUGGGCCCCAGGAAGGUCCUGGGCGGGGUCCCCUCCACACUUCCGUGGUCGGGGCAAGCUUUCCUUGGUGGAGGUCACUCUGCCCAGAGCCCGGAGGCUGGGACAGCCCUGUACAGAGCCCACUGGAGGCUGUGUUGUUUCCAGAAUGGUAUUUUCAGCAGCAGAGCAAGCCAGGAAACUUAAGGAAAGAAGCUGCCAUUCAUCUCCAGGAGGACACAGGACAGGGCAGUAGACUGGUCACCAGCCAGCCCGAACAGCCAUCUGCUAAGAUCAAGUCAUUUCUCCUUGGAACACAAUGACACUUCAGCCUAAGAAGGGAACUGAGCCAAUUUGGGACCUCGGCUUGGGCCCGUUCCAGCUCUGAUAAUAAAAAGUUAUGUUUUCCUCAGAGGGGUCCGUAGUGACAGGGAAAGGACUACUGCCAGGUGCCCUCAGACCUCCCCGUUUCUCCUUGCACCCCCAGACAGAUGCUCUUAUAUCCUGCCAUUUAUAUGCUAUUCUGUGAAAGAGUCAGACCAAAGUGAGCCCUACAGUGCUUGGAAGAUUUAUUUUGCAAUAUAAAAUGCACCUCCUCUCUGUAAACCACACGACUCUCCUUUAACUCUUUACCUGGAUGUUUCGCCAUUUCUGUGCAAGCUGGGUGUUUCUCUGUCGCUUCUAAGACCGCAUCAUGUCUACCCAGAGAUCUCUGAUCGGUCCACUUUUUCCAAGUUCAUCCAUUUUUAAAGUUGAGCACAAAUGCUAUCUCCUCUAUGAGGCCUUGGCUGAGAUCCCAGAGUUCCUGCUUCCCACCGAAGGUGAUCUUCUUUCUAGAUUCCCCUAGAAUUCCCCUAUUUAUGGCAGACUAAAUUUUAAGGAUCCCAUUCAUUUCUGCAUCACUUGAUGGUUGUCUAAGUACAUAGUACAGUGGUUAAGUAUGUGGAUUCUGGAGGCAGAUUUUCUGGGUGCACAGCUGGGCUUACGUAUUCACUGUGUGACCUGGGGCAAAUUAUUUAACCUGUGUGCCAAUUUGUAAGAUGAGGAUAAUAACUAACUAUCACGUAUGACUGUUGUACAAAUUAAAUGAGCAAAGCUCUGCUGAGUGUGUAGAACUGGGACUAGCAACUAGCCCAGCAAAGUUGGUUGUGUUUAUUAAUAUGAUUUAUUAUUAUUAUUUUUUCCUUUAAGUUUCCUGAUGGCAGGGGUCCAUCUUGUCUAACUUUCUACUCUACCACAGUGUUUUGCAUAUUGAUACAUGUUUAUUUACUUUGCGUAUCGAUGCACAUUUAUUUAUAAAUAAAUAGAUGUCCAAUGAAUAAAUAAGACUUGCGUUCCUUACAAGCUGGUCU